rnacentral:sRNA from 1 species
CACAGGGCUACACCCUGUGCUAUGGUAUUUCGCACUUUCAGUGCU